rnacentral:lncRNA from 1 species
UUGCAUAUUGAUUGGUAGUUGCUUUUAAGCAUUGUUGUUUUCUUUGAAUUGGUAUUAAUGAAAUGUUUAUGCAUCUUUUGAAUUAAUCCAUUCGUAUUCACUCGUUUUUCAUUUAUGUUAAAAAAACAAAAAAAAUACUUCUCUCAUUCACUCUUGUUUAUCAAACUAUUGUGUUAACAAAGAUUGGAAGGAGGAUGAUGAAAACGAAACACCUAAUUGUUAUGGUAUGCUUUUGAAGAAAACCU